rnacentral:rRNA from 1 species
UGGAUUAGGCAUGCAAGUCGAACGAGGGAGCGUUCCGAAAGGGAUGCAAACCGAGUGGCGUAAGGGUGAGUAAUGCAUUGAUAACCUACCUCCAAGAUGGGAAUAACAACGUUCCAAGCAAUUGGGGCUACCGAAAGGGUUGCUAAUACUCAAUAAAAUUAUUGUUGCUUCGGCAAUAAUAGUCAAAUAGGAGGAAUCGAAAGGUUUCGCUUGCUUGAAGAGGGGUCAAUGUCCUAUCAGCUUGUUGGUGGGGUAACGGCCUACCAAGGCGAAGACGGGUAGCCGGCCUGAGAGGGUGGUCGGCCACACUGGGACUGAGACACUGCCCAGACUCCUACGGGAGGCUGCAGUCGAGAAUCUUUCGCAAUGCCCGAAAGGGUGACGAAGCGACGCCGCGUGUGGGAAGAAGGCCUUCGGGUUGUAAACCGCUGUCGGGAGUUAAGAAAUGCAAGGAUGUUAAUAGCAUCUUUGUUUGACUAAGGCUCCGGAGGAAGCCACGGCUAACUCUGUGCCAGCAGCCGCGGUAAUACAGAGGCGGCAAGCGUUGUUCGGAAUUAUUGGGCGUAAAGAGCACGUAGGCGGCUGUGUAAGUCGGUUGUGAAAGCCUUCCGCUUAACGGAAGAACGGCAUCCGAUACUGCAUAGCUCGAGUGCGGGAGGGGAGAGUGGAACUUCUGGUGGAGCGGUGAAAUGCGUAGAUAUCAGAAGGAACACCGGCGGCGAAGGCGACUCUCUGGCCCGUAACUGACGCUGAGUGUGCGAAAGCUAGGGGAGCAAACAGGAUUAGAUACCCCGGUAGUCCUAGCCGUAAACGAUGGGCACUAAGUAGAGGGGUUUUA